rnacentral:misc_RNA from 1 species
AAGUCGUAACAAGGUCUCCGUAGGUGAACCUGCGGAGGGAUCAUUAACACGUUCAACAACGUUUUAAACAAAACAAACAAACAAACCGCGAAUAUAUAGUUCAUCAAAGUAUGUAGCGCGCAAGCGUUGCCUCUAUUUGAUGUUCCUACCCCUCUACCUUUAGGUGAAAAGCUGGCUAUGUUAAUUAAGUAUGAUUGGUCAUUCUUUUUCUCUUUCGAGAGAUUGAAUGUCUACAAUUGACAUAGAUCGAGUUCAAUCUCAACAUCUUUUCCUUUAGGCUUUAACUUUUUUUAGCUCAAUCAUACUAAAAGACCAAAACACUAACCCUACUUACAACCUAUUGACUGAAUUAAUCUUGACAAUCGUAACUGAUUCUGUCUUGAUAUGAUAUUCUAACUAUAAGCACAACUCUUAGCAACGGAUAUCUUGGUUCUC